GGGCCCUCAACCCCUCUGUUCCUGAGUGUCCAACUUGUCUGUUCGUCCACCCACUGUAAAGUGCUAUGGAACUUGUUGGCACAACAUACAUAAUAAUAAUUACUGCUGUAGUGGUACAGCUAUAAAGCUGUAGGAACUCUCCCUGUCUGUACCCUCUAAUAUCUCUUCCCAAAUCCCUUUCCAUAUGAUAGCCAGAAUAAGA